rnacentral:rRNA from 1 species
GCUGGGUAGGUAUGUUCGGUUGGGAUAAGCACUGAAAGCAUCUAAGUGCGAAGCUCGCCUCAAGAUGAGGUUCCCCACUGGGUUAACCAGGUAAGACCGCAGCGAGACUAGCUGUUUGAUAGGCCGCACGUGUAAGCGCAGCAAUGCGUUGAGCGAAGCAGGUACUAAUGGUCGAGGGCUUGACCUA